rnacentral:rRNA from 1 species
AUUGAACGCUGGCGGCAGGCCUAACACAUGCAAGUCGAACGGUAACAGGAAGAAGCUUGCUUCUUUGCUGACGAGUGGCGGACGGGUGAGUAAUGUCUGGGAAACUGCCUGAUGGAGGGGGAUAACUACUGGAAACGGUAGCUAAUACCGCAUAACGUCGCAAGACCAAAGAGGGGGACCUUCGGGCCUCUUGCCAUCGGAUGUGCCCAGAUGGGAUUAGCUAGUAGGUGGGGUAACGGCUCACCUAGGCGACGAUCCCUAGCUGGUCUGAGAGGAUGACACGCCACACUGGAACUGAGACACGGUCCAGACUCCUACGGGAGGCAGCAGUGGGGAAUAUUGCACAAUGGGCGCAAGCCUGAUGCAGCCAUGCCGCGUGUAUGAAGAAGGCCUUCUGGUUGUAAAGUACUUUCAGCGGGGAGGAAGAGAGUAAAUUUAAUACCUUUACUCAUUGACGUUACCCGCAGAAGAAGCACCGGCUAACUCCGUG